GCUUUGGAACAAGAAAGAUAAAUUGGCUUCAGAAACAAACUGGUUUUUCCUUGAUGAGGAAAACAAGUCAGCAAAUUAUUAAGAUGCUCUGGACCCUCUGCAGGUGUACUGAGACACACUGCUGAAAACAGAAGAGAAAUGAGUUGCCCUUUGACACCAGGGAAAUCUCAGAUAAUCAAAUGACAGCAAGCAGCAGCCUAAUCUCAGUACAGACUUCCUCUGUAAGAGGCUAUAUAGCUAUCCUCAUACUCACCUUGCACUGCCAUGUUGCUACUUCAAUGACGGGGGGAGAAAAAAAAAAACAAAAAAACCAACACUUACUUUCUGGCAUUUUGCAUCUUCGAAAAAUCUCCAUGAGUUCAUCCACUUGCACAAAAGGCCCCUG